rnacentral:lncRNA from 1 species
AUUCUACAGAAUUUGCAGUAGAAUAUCACAGUUUAUCUGCACUGUUUAGAAAUACCUUGGUUCAGAACAACUACCUUUGGAGAUAAAGACAGUAAUGUGAGGUCAGAAGAUCUUUCCACUAAGUGCAUUCCAUGGCAAAGACUGGUGUUUAACUUGACUAACAGCAGCAAACAGAAGGCAGUCAAGACUGGCCAGGAGAUGUGUGGUGCAAUCUGUGGCUGCAUGUAUCUGCUUCCUCUUGCUUCUCCGUAAUCUACAGCUGUUCACUCAGGUCAAGUUUGGUGACAGUGAACAACAUUUUCUGUGAAGCAGCUGCUGCUGGAGUCCUCGCUAGCUAGCAAAUUCAGCAUAAAGUGUGUGCCAGAAGUGCUCUGAGAAUCUGUGUAUGCCACGGCACGUCCAUCUGCUAUACACAACACAUGCCAGUCUCUUCAGUAUGCACUGAGAAGACAAGUCUGAAAUGUAGGGAAGCAGAAGGAAUUAAAUACAGAAUCUAAAUAAAACAUAUUGUAUAA